rnacentral:lncRNA from 1 species
UUUAUUCGAAAUUUAUAGCAUCUGAUCACAAUUAAUCCAUAUUGAGUCACCUUGAUAUGGCCUCUGAUUAUCUUAAUCAUGAUUACCUCUUCUUAAGGAUAUGAAGAUUCUCUUUUCACUUUCUCUCUUUACUUUCUCUCUCAUGACCAACUUUUUCUCUCUGAGAAGGUCUAUGAAUCCUGUACUAAGUCAUGCCUUCAUCUUCUAGGAACUUAUGUUGACUCCAACAAGAUGACCCAAAAUUACUUUGAUAUCCAUGCUAUAUGUUAACCUCAUUUGGCCAU